rnacentral:rRNA from 1 species
UACGGAGGGGGCUAGCGUUGUUCGGAAUUACUGGGCGUAAAGCGCGCGUAGGCGGCUUUGUAAGUUAGAGGUGAAAGCCCGAAGCUCAGCUUCGGAAUUGCCUUUAAGACUGCAUCGCUUGAAUCCAGGAGAGGUGAGUGGAAUUCCGAGUGUAGAGGUGAAAUUCGUAGAUAUUCGCAAGAACACCAGUGGCGAAGGCGGCUCACUGGCCCGAUACUGACGCUGAGGCACGAAAGCGUGGGGAGCAAACAGG